rnacentral:rRNA from 1 species
AAGGUGAAAAGAACCCCGGGUGGGGAGUGAAAUAGAACCUGAAACCCUGCACUUACAAGCUGUGGAAGCACAUUUCUUGUGUGACCGCGUACUUUUUGUAGAACGGGCCAACGAGUUACGUUAAGUAGCACGGUUAAGCACUUAAGGUGUGGAGCCGUAGCGAAAGCGAGUUUUAACUGAGCGUUCAGUUACUUGACGUAGACCCGAAACCGGGCGACCUACCCAUGAGCAGGAUGAAGCGAAAGUAAAAUUUCGUGGAGGUCCGAACCCACGAGCGUUGAAAAGCUCGGGGAUGACUUGUGGGUAGCGGUGAAAUUCCAAUCGAGCCCGGAGAUAGCUGGUUCUCCCCGAAAUAGCUUUAGGGCUAGCCUCAAGGUGAGAGAUACGGAGGUAGAGCACUGAAUGUCCUAGGGGGUAUUGCACCUACCGAAGACUAUCAAACUCCGAAUGCCGUCAUCUUAUACUUGGGAGUCAGACUGUGGGUGAUAAGAUUCAUAGUCGAAAGGGCAACAGCCCAGAUCGUCAGCUAAGGUCCCUAAAUGUAAGUUAAGUGGUAAAGGAUGUGGGAUUGCACAGACAACCAGGAUGUUGGCUUAG